UACGGGGGGAGCAAGCGUUGUUCGGAUUUACUGGGCGUAAAGGGCGCGUAGGCGGCGCCGCAAGUCGACUGUGAAAUCUCCGGGCUUAACCCGGAAAGGUCAGCCGAUACUGCGGGGCUAGAGUGCAGAAGGGGCAACUGGAAUUCUCGGUGUAGCGGUGAAAUGCGUAGAUAUCGAGAGGAACACCUGCGGCGAAGGCGGGUUGCUGGGCUGACACUGACGCUGAUGCGCGAAAGCUAGGGGAGCAAACGGG
rnacentral:rRNA from 1 species